rnacentral:lncRNA from 1 species
UAGCACUUGUAUCAAGUCCUUUAAAACUCACAAGAACCCUAUGAGAUGGGUGUUCUAUUUGUUCCCAUUUUAUAGGGGAAGAAGCUAAGGCACAGAGCAGUUAAGGAACUUGCCCAAAGUUGCACAGCUAAAAGUGUAGCGUCAGGAUUUGAACUCUGGGGAUCUGGCUCCAAAGUCCACACUUCAAACUACCACGAACUACUGUGAAGCUCGGGGGAUGCCCAGAGCCACCAGCAGGCUGUAGUGAGGGUCCAUGGGCCGGAUCUGGGAGACUGCAGGGCUUGGCAGGCCGAGCGGAAGGGCGAGGGCCUUCCCCUGGAAACACUCCACCAGGUUCACGCGGAGCCUGGCGACUCCCCAGGGCAGCCGCGUGCUCUUCCCAUGACAUCACACUGCCUCAGAACUUUUGAGGCUGAGGAUUCUUGGAAUGCUGGAUUCACCCUGGAACAAAAAUAAUACCUCGUAUUCAUAACGUGCUUUUGUUCCCCACAGGCUUUCCUGGGCUUCAUUUCAUUGUAGCCUCAGACUAGCCUUGUGAUCCAGGCAGGAGUCCUGUAGGUGGGAGGCCACCCUAAGAACCUGAGUCGGGGUUGGUCUCCCCAUUCUGCAGCUUCAUGAAGGCAGCAGCCCUGUGCGCUGGAGUCAUCGCUACCUCCCCUCCCCAGACCACAAGGAAGAUAGAGAGAAGGUUCUGCCUCAUCUGAAGGAAGUGGAUGCUUUGGGAGCAGUUCAGAGGCACACACAAGACACUCUGGUGGCAGAGACGUGGGUGUGAUGUAGGGCAUUCCAGACUGUAAUCAUAUCAGGAGUCUGGAGGGCUCGGGCAGGACCCUGGGAGCUGGGGAAGGCUCCUGCUCAGGUCUGGACCUUAAGACCUGGAUAGGAUUAGGGGAGUGCUGAAGGACUCUGUAGGGACAGCUGAACAGCUUUGUCACACAAACACCCUGCCUCCACCCCAACUUCUCUCAGAGGGCUGCAGGAGCUAUGUGGCCUCAGGCAAACCCACUGACAUCUCUGAUUAACCUCUGGGCAGAACAGAGUCUCAGCAUGUGUUUAAUUAAUGAAACAAUAAUGAACCAGCCUUUCUC